UCAAACCAAAAUAAUUUAUAGUCUUUAAAAUUAAAUUAUUAAUAAACAGAUCUAGAUCGAACCAUUUCAUUUUAGAUCUAUUUGAUUCUGAUUUUAUUUCAAUUAGAUUUUUUGAUUUGAUUUAAACAUCCUUUUUACAUGCACUCCCAAACUAUAUUCAACAUGCACCUUAAAAAAUUAAUAAUAAUAAAAAAAAAGUAACUUAUUUUUUUAAAUACUAAAGUAAAAAAAGUAACUUAUUCAACAAAAUCACACAGUAAAAAAAGAAAACCCUGACAAUAUCAGAAAAUAAAAUAAUAAUAAUAAGCUUCAUCAUCAUGUUCACGUGGCCAGAGAAGAGGAGUUGGCAGUGUUGGAAGGAAGAGAAGGAGGAACGAAGGGAUGGGAGAAGAGAAAGAUGACGGCUCUUUCGUGCGUGGAGGAGGACGUGCUGCGCUGCUGCGGCAGCAAAAGGUUCGCCAAGGAGAUGGUCUCGGCCUCCCCCUUCACCGAUCUCGACCACGCCCUCCGAUCCGCCUGCGACAUCUGGUUCGACAAGGUCUCCCCGUUGCCGUAUUCCUAGUUCCUCUUCCCGUUCUUCUCUCUAGCCUGUUGUGAUUCCAUCUCCCUCUUGAUUUCUAAUGAAUCUUGCACGUCGACGCCGUCGGAUGACCCGAGGCUUUCGCGGCUCACCCGGCGAUCGGAGCCGCCUCUCCUUCCGUCUCCCAAACGAUUCCGCCUUGCAAGAAUUGGUGGAAUGGAAUUUUCGGCACAGGGAGAAGUUUGGGUUCGUGUUCCUCGUAUGCGCAUCUGGGAGGGGCAUGAUGGAGAUCCUUGCUGAAUUAAAGGUCCCAUUUUUCUGAACAAACUACCGUUUUGCUGAAUCAUGCUUUCCAAUUACUUUUAAGUUUUAACAAAUAACAGUUUUAAUGAUGGUACGAUGGAAGAUACUAUUGCUACUUAAAACUAUCUUUUCAUUGGAAUCUUGUUAGGUCUUACCACUACAUAGAACAACUCAUCAAUGUUGUGUCUACUACCUCUGCCAAGGGGCUCUUUUAUCCUGUGCUGUGUGUUCCUGUGGUUUUUUAUGCGCAUGCAUGGAUGGAUCUUUAUCCUGAAUUUAGCUGCAUCCAAAGACAUCUGAAAAAUUAAAGUUCUUUAUGCUUUGUAGAUUCAUAUUUUGUCUUUUUAAUCCCAAAAGAGAGACAUGUUAGGACCCUUUUUCUGAGCUUUUGAAUAAUGUUUAUUGAGUCUGUUUAGUCCAAUUGUUUAUUGAGUUGGUUUGGUUCAGUUAGAAUCAAGUAGAGGUUUAUUUAAUAUUUAUUUAUUAUUAGAGUUCAAGUCCUGAUGGGCUUUGGGUGGAGCUCUAUAAAUAGGGAUGUAACUGCUUCUUUUCAGUAAUCUAUGAAAAAUACUAUUCUGUCUUUGGACAAUCCUAGGAGGCCGAUCCCCUCGAAGUGAUCAAGGAGGGUCGAUCCCCUCGAAGCGAUCAAGGAGGCCGAUCCCCUCGAAGUGAUCAUUAUCAUCCUCAUUUCUCCCAUUUCUUCCACGAUAAGAUUUUAGGGUCUUAUCAUUUGGUAUCAGAGCCUACGAUAAAACUUUAGGGUCUUAUCAUUUGGUAUCAGAGCGACGAUAAGACCUUUAGGGUUUUAUCAUUUGGUAUCAGAGCCUACGAUAAGAUAUUAAAGGCAUCACACAUACAGUGCAUGCAUUGGCUGGCUACACUAACCCACAAACUAUGAAAAUCGGAGGAACUUUGAAGCAUCAACCUGUCACUAUUUUGAUUGAUACAGAUAACACUAAUAAUUUUAUGGACAGGAAAGUUACAGCCCAAUUAGCCCAUCACAUUGAAGGCUGUGAUAUAUUCAAAGUUGAUGGAUGAAUUUUAACUUAUGAUAGCAAAGGUUAGGAAUUUCUUGCAACGAUUACUACACUGAAAGAUCGACCUAUUGCUUACACUGUCAAAAAGUGGAGACCAUACUUACUUGAUCAACGGGUUGUGAUGCGUUGCAGAUAGUCUAUGGCUAAAGUGCUGAAAGAGAACCUCCCCGAGAUUGAUGCUGCUCAGCCUUGAGGACAAGGCUGAUUUGAAGAGGGAGGAACUGUUAGGACCCUUUUUCUGAGCUUUUGAAUAAUGUUUAUUGAGUCUGUUUAGUCCAGUUAUUUAUUGAGUCGGUUUGGUUCAGUUAGAGUCAAGUAGAGGUUUAUUUAAUAUUUAUUUAUUAUUAGAGUUCAAGUCCUGAUGGACUUUGGGUGGAGCUCUAUAAAUAGGGAUGUAACUGCUUCUUUUUAGUAAUCUAUGAAAAAUACUAUUAUGUCUUUGGACAACCCUAGGAGGCCGAUCCCCUCGAAGUGAUAAGGAGGGUCGAUCCCCUCGAAGUGAUCAAGGAGGGCCGAUCCCCUCGAAGCGAUCAAGGAGGCCGAUCCCCUCGAAGUGAUCAUUAUCAUCCUCAUUUCUCCCAUUUCUUCCACGAUAAGACUUUAUGGUCUUAUCAUUUGGUAUCAGAGCCUACGAUAAAACUUUAUGGUCUUAUCAGGACACCCUUAAGCCCUAACUGUAGAAAGAGUAAGAUAAAAGGGGAUCAAUAACAAGAAAGUAGGUUGACGUUGUAUUUCUACAUCUAUUGAUAUAAUGGAAAUCGGAAAGAUGCUGAGUUACAUAUUAAGUGUUAAUUUGAUAUAGUGUUCUUGAAUGUCUUGGCACUCGAUAAAGAUGGUUCAAGGAACUAGAGAAGGAAUAAAGAUGGAUGAUAUGAAACACUCUUGGAACAAAUUUUCAUAGAAGAUUCAAUAACUCUUUGUUGGACAAAUCCAAGCUUUCAUUUUCCUCCUAUGGCAGGCAUUGCCUCAAAACCUAUGCAGAUAACGGUAGAAGUCCAAAUAAUGGAAGCAGGAAACUCUUUGAGGGUCCUAGAUGCUAAAGAAACCUUUUUUGGUUAAAUUAUGUAUAUAUUUUUUAUUAUAAGGAUCUGAUUCUUAUGCUCUUAUCAUAUUCUCUGUACAAAUUAGCUAAAUUUCACUCUUUGCAAAUUUUUUUCCAAAACUUUAUAUGAAAAUGUCCCUCAUGUGGUUGCUUUAGAAGAAAGAAAAGGCAUCUCAAUCUGGUGGAAUCAUUUGUAGGUUGCCUGUGAAGAAGUGGCUUGUCUACUUGAUAUUUGGUGCAUUGGUUCUCAUUCAGUUCAUUUGACAUGAUUAUCUAUUCGUUGUUUUUAUCCGUUAACCAUUGUGGCAUGUACAGUUGUUCAUUCCUCUUAUGCAUCUAGUCCUUCAAAUCCUUGGUAAUUUGGGCUACUUAUAUUGUGAUGUUAUUUUAUUUAAAAUUGUCCCCAUUUUGGAAAUGGGUCACUAUUGAUGUGAAUAACCUUACUAUGACAUGAGCAUGUCAACGCUAAUUAUAUUUGAUUUGUGAAUUUAUUAUCAAUUUAUGUACCAUUGAUCGUGCAUUCUCUUCUUUAACAAUUUCUGAGUGUAUCUAUUGGUAAUCUACUGAUUUUACCUUGCUAUAGAAAUGCUACCUGAAUAGGCCCAUUGUCAAACUUGAAAUAGCAGCACAAGAGGAGAUGAAAAUAAUUGAAUUGUGUCUUACUAGGCUUUUAAAUUCUGAUGUGGAUCAAACAUUCCAGUCACAACUUGUCUUCCUGUUAGUUCUCCAACUAAGUAGUAAUGUCUUCAUUUUCCUGAUGUUUUAAACAAGGAGAAUCUUUUUUUUUUUUCCAGUUAUCUUUAUCACACAAUUGAUCAUUUUCUUCUCACUUUUACUUGUAUAACUGAAUGUCUAUUGGAGGUCUUUGAGAAUAAAUAAUUGCCGUUGAAAAUCAAUAGUUUAGAUAUGAGAAAAAAAGCUGUCAAUUGAGGUUGGGCAAGCUCUGUAUUUGUUGUUACAAAAACAAUGUUUGGUCAGAUGAAGACAUGGAAAUUCAUUCUUAAAAUUUAUUACUUUGUUCAUCUGCAAAUGUCUACGGUUGGUCUUGUUCACUAGCAGAGUGAUAGAACCUGCUUAAGGAAACAGAAAACCAAGAUAAUGUGUAGACUGUAGAAAAUUGAGUUUAAAAUAGGCUUUUUACACUAUAUUUUGUGUCUUUUUAAAUUAUCUUCCGUGGGGGCAAUCAUACUACAUUUGAUUAUAUUUAUGGAAAUUGGAUCUUAGAUUCUUCAUAUCGUGGAUUCCAGUGAUUAGAGGUAAGGACAUGUAUUAGUUAUGCCCGAGUUUGGUAAGAUGGAUAGAUCCCUUGCACGCUUUUAUGCCCAUUUGCACAUAUCCUUUAUAUUCUUAUAGAUUAGUGGUUGGGUAGAUGUAAAAUUUACUGAAGAAACUCUCAUGUUGCUUGUAACCAUUAGGAGUAAUCUAAGCCAGAGGAAAGAAGGAUGAUUGCUUAGUCUGGAUGAAUAUCUUUCUCAGUGUGGUUUCUCUUUUGGGAACUUGCUAAUUGCAUCCAGAGGAUGGUUAAGUGGUCUGUAUGAGUUAUUUUCUUUGGUAUGCUGUUUCUCAAGAUCUCUAGAUUCAUCAUAAACCAUUGCUCUGUAAGUGGUAGUCCCUGCUGCAUGUGGUCCAAAGUUUAUUCGCUGGAAUGAACAUAUUCGAUCUUAUCUUAUGUGCUUGCAGUUUAUUUUCUCCUGUCCUGAGGUAAUUCCAGGAGCAUUGUUUCAUCAUUAAGGAUUUUGUGGCAACUUGAUUUGGUUGUAUAGUCAUUUUCUUCGUCGAUGUGACACUUGGUUUUGUUGAUAUAGUCAUUUUCUAUGUUAAUGUCUUACACUAGUCAUUCUCAUUUGAAUAUUGAAUAAUUUCUUUCACGAGAUGAAUAGCCUUUGAUACUUGAAGUUUCUACAUGCAACCUCUAGUGCUGCCUUCCAUGUUUAAUUGAUGUGGUCUGCCUAGUUUGUCUUUUUCACUCAUGUUAGAUAGGUAUAUCAUAUAAGUUUAGUUUACUGUUUACCUUGAGCUAUUUCAAUUUAGUCAAUCAUGGAAUAUCGAGUUGAUUCCAAUAGGUCUGUGAAACAUCGUUUUCGAAAACAUGUGUGCCACUUUUUCUUUAUGAUGACAAUGUUUAACUGGAGACUCUGGUGAAGGUGCAUAACUAGUGUGUUUACUUUGCUGCAGUCACUUUCUGUAAACUCCGGCAAGUCAAAUUAAUCUAGCUAGUAUAACUUCAAAGAUUCCAGUUCUGUUAACUUUGCGUUUAACUUAUGCUUCAUCCUGACAUCUCAUGUUUUGAAUCUUAAAAGAUCGUUUAGGAAUCACUGGAGCACAUAUUAUGGCUAUUCCUUAGGUACCUUCCAGUAAAACCACUGAAAUUUCAGAUAAUAGUGAUCACACAUGUCCUCCCAGCACAACCCAUGUCCUGGAUGUUGCCCGUGGCUCUCCAGCUUCCGGCACGGAGGUUCACCUUGAGAUGUGGAAAGGAACUCAUCAGCACCCAUCAUUUACAAACAGAGAAUCCACCCACCGGAUGUUGAUAGGCUCUUUGAUAACAAAUGCUGAUGGCUGCAGUGGCCCUCUCUGAUGGGCAUCGUCGACCAUAUUACUCCUGGCUUUUAGCAGAUAAGUUUCAACACCGGUAAAUAUGGCUUCUUUGCUUGUGUCAGCUUGGUGUUUCAGGUCAGAGAAAACCAGAUAGCAGAACACUUUCAUGUUUCCUCUGCUGCAUUCGUCCUUUUCGUUCACGACACACAGGGGGAGCUAGAUAUGGUACUCUUCGUUGCUUAACAGAUUCUUUUCUAGGUAAACUAUGGAUGUUACUUUGUCGUAUCGGAAGUAUAUGUGCCAGGAUCGUAUACAAUUCAAACAGGUCUAAAUUAUGAUCAUGGUGUUUGGACGGA